rnacentral:lncRNA from 1 species
UAUUCACAGAUGUGAAGAAUAAACAGAUCUUUCUGACCUACAAUGAAGCUGAGCAUAUGAUACGAGUUUCCAUAGAUUUUACACCCAACAGAAUUGUACUGCACCCAACUAUGGAAGACUGGGUUCUUGGGUAUGAUCUGAAAGCUGGAAAGCUUUAUUGUUCAUUAAACUUUGGAUUAAACUGGACAUUAUUACAUAAGUUUGUCACUCCAAGAUUCUUUUGGGCUGUUGAAGGGCAUGAUCACUCUACAGCUGUGGUUCAUAUGGAACUGCUGGAUUCUGAUGG